rnacentral:miRNA from 1 species
UAUUUACAAAAAUGUGAGGGUGUAGUCACUUUUGUGAGAUACUGUGUAUAAAUAUAUACACAGUAUCUCACAAAAGUGACUACACCCUCACAUUUUUGUAAAUAUUU